CGACGUCACCUCCCCUGUGCAGCAGAGAGGGGACAAAGCCAGCGGGGACCCCAAGCACCGCGCAGCAGCUGGGGACACGGAUGAGAUCUGAGAGUGGAUCGCAGGGUGGGAUCCUGCCGAGCCGUGGGCUGAUGAAACCUCUUUGUCACAGGCUCAGCACCCUGGGACCUGCUCAGCAUCACGGUGUCUCUUCCCUGCAUCGUCCCUGGUCGCCAGCCACGCAGAGCCAGGGGACGCACCACCCAUUUGCAGGCAUUGCCACGGCAGAACUCCUGCACCAAACGUGUGUGGCCUCUGCGUUAGGCCGGUGCUAUCUCUUUAACAGAAGGGAGAGAAAAUAUUGGUGCCGUGGACCCCCCUGGGAAUAAAUUCAUACUGCCGUAUUGAUUCGAUUUUUUUUCUCCUUUUGCCUGAUACCUACGGCCUCCUGGGUAACGAAGAUUAAGCUUCAAGCCCUUCUGAUAUUACUUUGAAAUGCAGAAACCUUCAGAAAAAGAGACUACAUCUUCUCUCUUCUCGGAAAAAAGGCAAAUAUCUUCGGGGAUGGGCCAGUGCUUGUCUAUUUUGUCCUUUGCCCGCCUCCGGAGCCAU